rnacentral:rRNA from 1 species
AACGAACGCUGGCGGCAGGCCUAACACAUGCAAGUCGAACGAGACCUUCGGGUCUAGUGGCGCACGGGUGCGUAACGCGUGGGAAUCUACCCUUGGGUUCGGAAUAACAGUUAGAAAUGACUGCUAAUACCGGAUGAUGACGUAAGUCCAAAGAUUUAUCGCCCAAGGAUGAGCCCGCGUAAGAUUAGCUUGUUGGUGGGGUAAUGGCCUACCAAGGCGACGAUCUUUAGCUGGUCUGAGAGGAUGAUCAGCCACACUGGGACUGAGACACGGCCCAGACUCCUACGGGAGGCAGCAUUGGGGAAUAUUGGACAAUGGACGAAAGCCUGAUCCAGCAAUGCCGCGUGAGUGAUGAAGGCCUUAGGGUUGUAAAGCUCUUUUACCAGGGAUGAUAAUGACAGUACCUGGAGAAUAAGCUCCGGCUAACUCCGUGCCAGCAGCCGCAGUAA